CCUACGGGAGGCAGCAGUAGGGAAUUUUGCGCAAUGGGCGAAAGCCUGACGCAGCAACGCCGCGUGAUCGAGACGCCCUUCGGGGUUUAAAGAUCUGUUAGUGGGGGCGAAACUUGACGGUACCCUCAGAGUAAGCACCGGCUAACUCCGUGCCAGCAGCCGCGGUAAUACGGGGGGUGCAAGCGUUGUCCGGAAUCAGUGGGCGUAAAGAGUUCGUAGGCGGCACGUAAAGUCUGGUGUUAAAGGCAGAGGCUCAACUUCUGUACGGCACUGGAUACUGGCGAGCUAGUAUGCGGUAGAGGUAAAGGGAAUUCCUGGUGUAGCGGUGAAAUGCUGAGAUAUCAGGAGGAACACCGGUGGCGUAGGCGCUUUACUGGGCCAUAAUUGACGCUGAGGAACGAAAGCCAGGGUAGCAAAUGGGAGUAGAUACCCUUGUAGUC
rnacentral:rRNA from 1 species